GACGAACGCUGGCGGCGUGCUUAACACAUGCAAGUCGAACGGAAAGGCUCCAGCUUGCUGGAGUACUCGAGUGGCGAACGGGUGAGUAACACGUGGGUAAUCUGCCCUGCACUCUGGGAUAAGCCUGGGAAACUGGGUCUAAUACUGGAUAUGACCUUUCUCCUUAUGGGGUUUGGUGGAAAGUUUUUCGGUGUAGGGUGAGCCCGCGGCCUAUCAGCUUGUUGGUGGGGUGAUGGCCUACCAAGGCGACGACGGGUAGCCGGCCUGAGAGGGUGAUCGGCCACAUUGGGACUGAGAUACGGCCCAGACUCCUACGGGAGGCAGCAGUGGGGAAUAUUGCACAAUGGGCGGAAGCCUGAUGCAGCGACGCCGCGUGAGGGAUGACGGCCUUCGGGUUGUAAACCUCUUUCAGCAGGGACGAAGCGUAAGUGACGGUACCUGCAGAAGAAGCACCGGCUAACUACGUG
rnacentral:rRNA from 1 species